GGGGACGACAGGCUUCGACGUGGUCGAUUCGUGGGGGUGGUUGCGAGUCGAGGUCCGGGAGGCCUCGUAAAACACCCGGAAACAAAUAAGUGCGGACUCACACGAGUUCAAGCUAGACCCUCGGCUGGUCACAGCUUAGUUAGGGUCUAAGGCUAAUCCGGCCUUCGUUCGCCUGCGGCGGAGGAUCCGGGUCAAAUAGCAGGCUCGCCCGGUGAGGCCCGCUCCCGCCCCGCCGGGGACACCUUCGGAGCUGGCCCUCGACAACCCCGCCGGCAAGGCGAGUCGAAGGGUGAGACCAGAGUGCCGGCUACGCUCGUAGAUGCCACCUUUUGCGCGGCCGCGGACGCGGGUUCAAUUCCCGCCGUCUCCACCU
rnacentral:tmRNA from 1 species